rnacentral:rRNA from 1 species
GACGAACGCUGGCGGCGUGCUUAACACAUGCAAGUCGAACGGAAAGGCCCUGCUUUUGUGGGGUGCUCGAGUGGCGAACGGGUGAGUAACACGUGAGUAACCUGCCCUUGACUUUGGGAUAACUUCAGGAAACUGGGGCUAAUACCGGAUAGGAGCUCCUGCUGCAUGGUGGGGGUUGGAAAGUUUCGGCGGUUGGGGAUGGACUCGCGGCUUAUCAGCUUGUUGGUGGGGUAGUGGCUUACCAAGGCUUUGACCGGUAGCCGGCCUGAGAGGGUGAACGGCCACAUAGGGUGUGAGAUACGGCCCAGACUGCUACGGGAGGCAGGAGGGGGGAAUGUUGAACAAUGGGCGGAAGCCUGAUGCAGCAACGCCGCGUGCGGGAGGACGGCCUUCGGGUUGUAAGCCGCUUUCGCCUGUGACGAAGGGUGAGUGACGGUAAUGGGUAAAGAAGCACCGGCUAACUACGU